rnacentral:rRNA from 1 species
AUGAUAAACAAGGGAUUAGCAAGUUUGAGCUCGGUGAUAGAAUUACUCAAUGAGAUCCUAAAUAGAAGCAUGGUUCAACCAAUUGACAUCAAUGUUGAUAAAGGCAUGGAAAAAUCUUAUCGUAUACAUGAUAUGGUGAUUGAUUCCAUAUGUUUUUGCCAAGUGAAGAAAAACCAUUUGCAUGGCACUCAGUCAAAGGCAAGAUUUGAAGAUUAA